rnacentral:rRNA from 2 species
GCUUUACUGUAACUUGAAAUUGGGUUCCGGUUUUGUUUGCGCAGUAUAGGUGGGAGGCUAUGAUGAUGUACUUGUGGGUAUAUAAGAGCCGUUAGUGAGAUACCACUCUGACAAAUCUAGAAUUCUAACUUUGCUUCCGUUACCCGGACAAAGAACAUUUUCAGGUGGGCAGUUUGACUGGGGCGGUCGCCUCCUAAAAGGUAACGGAGGCGUGCAAAGGUUCCUUCAGGCUGGUUGGAAAUCAGUCGUAGAGUGUAAAGGCAUAAAGGAGCUUGACUGUAAGACUUACAAGUCGAACAGGGACGAAAGUCGGCCUUAGUGAUCCGACAGUUCCGAGUGGAAGGGCUGUCGCUCAACGGAUAAAAGUUA